GUGCUUGGCUCAGCAGCACAGCUACUGAAAUUGGAAUGAUACAGAGAAGAUUAGCGUGGCCCCUGCACAGGGAUGACACACAAAUCUGUGAAGUGUUACAUAAAAAA
ensembl:snRNA U6 U6 spliceosomal RNA